CGCUGAUGUCCACUGAUACAAAAACCCUGCUGAUGAUCUGCAAACUGAGCACAGCGGAGUCAACCAGCCCUGGAUGGAACAGGAAGAAAGGGUUUCUGCCCCGCCAUUGUCUGACAGCCCCAGCCAAUCGUGUGGUUAUUCGUGGAGUCACUCUGCAUUCCACUGCCCUGUUCUUCCUGCGCCCUUUGAUCAGGGCUUUGUUCUAUAUUAUUUCAUUCAAGCAGAAAACUUUAAUAACAGAGUCGGGGGGGGGGGGGGGGGGGGGGGAGGAAUUUGAACCAAUUAAUCCCAUGGGAGAAGGGAGCUGCUUCCAGCAGACACCCAGAUUUUAGUGGAUAAUUAAGUCCCUUGUUUUUCUUAUACUUACAACUAACAGAUGGCUGGAGCUCUAAGCUGCUAGCACGCCUACACUAACUGAGAUCACCUGACCAGAGCUAGGAAAGUCAGUGAAGACACUAUAGAGUGAGCAUCACAGUUCAAACGGAUAACAGCACCAGCUAAAGGCUUAUUAGUGAACUCCACCCUUUACAGUGGACUCACCGAAGUUACUCAUCUCAUUGGAUUUUCAAUUACUAGCUCAAGGUGCUUAUUCUUUGGUAGCAACCUGUAGAUGACAAAGUGUUUUUUUUUUCCUUUCAAGCAAAAAGCAUUCAAGCAUUCACCAAAAAAGAAAAGCUUGGAAACUAAGAGAUAAGAGAAAACCCCCUGGAAUCUUGACUCUGAGCCUUCCUAGUCAGAGUAGUGAAUGAUUUACUUUUCUAUCACUUCCCCAAGAUAUGUUCUUGGCACACGAAUAUAAUUAUGUUUACAGUAAUCGUUCGAUUUGAUUCAAUUUAAGUUGAUCUUCUUUGUAAAUCUAUCAAAACAUCAUUACAUAGAUGGAUAAUUCAGUCAGCCUUCUGCCAGAUGUUGUCUUCUGUGCUUGCUCAUAGAGCUCCUUGACUAAUUUAAUUAAUUUAAUUAGAGAAGGAUACUUUUUAAGGGGUAAUAACAAGUGAGCUUGCUGACUGCGUGCAGUAUCUCUAGAUUAUGCAUGUAAGAUCCUAAAUAUCUUUGGCGACUGCGAUGCUGAAAUACUUCCAUAUCACUGAACACUGCAAACAAA
rnacentral:lncRNA from 1 species